GUUAUGCACUUGAAUGUGUGCAGAUUCUCAUAAACUAUUUGUGGUGGAAACCUGCACAGAUAUAACAUGACUAUGUGGAUUUUUUCUGCUUACAUACUUUUUUUGCUGCCAUAUGAAAUCUGUUGUGGUGAAUCUGUGAACCAGACAGUUGCUUCUAUAACUGCGUAUGAAGGACAAACUGUUACCUUAGACUGCCGUUAUGAUACAGGUGGCUAUCCUAACCUGUUCUGGUAUGUGCAGGAUUUACACAGACAUCCUGAAUUUUUACUUCAAGAAAUCUCACAACCUGAGAACUAUCCUGCUAGGAUCCGUGGAAGAGCAUCGGUUGUGCUACAUAAAGGGAACAAAAGCUUCCCACUCACUCUGUCAAGGCUAAGGCUGUCUGAUUCUGCUGUGUAUUUUUGCGCUCUGAGUCCCACAGUGUGUAAGAAUUAACAGAAGUCUGUUUACAAAUACUGACUGUGUGUCAGCAGAUGGUGUCACUUCCCUGCAGUAAAGAAGU